GACGAACGCUGGCGGCGUGCCUAAUACAUGCAAGUAGAACGCUGAAGGAGGAGCUUGCUUCUCUGGAUGAGUUGCGAACGGGUGAGUAACGCGUAGGUAACCUGCCUGGUAGCGGGGGAUAACUAUUGGAAACGAUAGCUAAUACCGCAUAAUAGUAGAUGUUGCAUGACAUUUGCUUAAAAGGUGCAAUUGCAUCACUACCAGAUGGACCUGCGUUGUAUUAGCUAGUUGGUGGGGUAACGGCUCACCAAGGCGACGAUACAUAGCCGACCUGAGAGGGGGAUCGGCCAGACUGGGACGGAGACACGGCCCAGACUCCUACGGGAGGCAGCAGUAGGGAAUCGUCGGCAAUGGACGGAAGUCUGACCGAGCAAGGCCGCGUGAGUGAAGAAGGUUUUCGGAUCGUAAAGCUCUGUUGUAAGAGAAGAACGAGUGUGAGAGUGGAAAGUUCACACUGUGACGGUAUCUUACCAGAAAGGGACGGCUAACUACGUG
rnacentral:rRNA from 1 species